UGUUCUAUGGCUUAGUUGGUUAAAGCGCUAAACUAGCGAUACGACGUCGUGGGCUCGAAUCUCACCAAAACAA
rnacentral:tRNA from 1 species